CAGCAGCCGCGGUAAUACGAGGGGGGCAAGCGUUGUUCGGAAUUAUUGGGCGUAAAGGGUGCGUAGGCGGUUUGAUAAGUCAUCUGUGAAAUCUCUGGGCUCAACCCAGAGUCUGCAGGCGAAACUGUCGGGCUUGAGUAUGGGAGAGGUGAGUGGAAUUUCCGGUGUAGCGGUGAAAUGCGUAGAUAUCGGAAGGAACACCUGUGGCGAAAGCGGCUCACUGGACCAUAACUGACGCUGAUGCACGAAAGCUAGGGGAGCAAACAGGAUUAGAUACCCCCGUAGUCCCUGUCUCUUAUAC
rnacentral:rRNA from 1 species